CUACGUGCCAGCAGCCGCGGUAAUACGUAGGUGGCAAGCGUUGUCCGGAAUUAUUGGGCGUAAAGCGCGCGCAGGCGGAUCAGUCAGUCUGUCUUAAAAGUUCGGGGCUUAACCCCGUGAUGGGAUGGAAACUGCUGAUCUAGAGUAUCGGAGAGGAAAGUGGAAUUCCUAGUGUAGCGGUGAAAUGCGUAGAUAUUAGGAAGAACACCAGUGGCGAAGGCGACUUUCUGGACGAAAACUGACGCUGAGGCACGAAAGCGUGGGUAGCAAACAGGAUUAGAUACCCUGGUAGUCCACGCCGUAAACGAUGAACACUAGGUGUCGGGAGGAAUUUCGGUGCCGGCGCAAACGCAAUAAGUGUUCCGCCUGGGGAGUACGUUCGCAAGAAUAAAACUCAAAGGAAUUGACGGGGACCCGCACAAGUAGCGGAGCAUGUGGUUUAAUUCGAAGCAACGCGAAGAACCUUACCUAAGCUUGACAUGGGGA
rnacentral:rRNA from 1 species